rnacentral:lncRNA from 1 species
UACACAAUUCUCAUAGUAAUCAUUCUUCAAAAGUGUCCCCUAAAACUCCUCCCCUGCCAUUUGAUCACAACCAAAAGCCCCUACUCCCUGUAAAAAUCCUAUCCCACCUGCCCACAAACAAUUGAAAUAAUGUCAAUAUCUUACCCACAAAACAUUCAUAUAUAAAACUUAAGGUUUACAGUUGGAUAUUUAAUCCUUUUCUAUGCUUCAGGAUUAAUAUUUGAGUGGUUCCUUCCUCUUCCUAAAAAAAACUCAUUCUCCCAUUCACCCUUACUACAUUAUCAACUAUAAUUUCCCAGAUUAUAAAAGACAAAGAUAAUAUGAAAGUUACCAUUUUACAUCAAAUGCUAUACUUUACUAACAUCCUACCACUUGGAAGGUUCUUUUUCGCCCUUACUAUUGACAUUUAAAAGGGCAGUAAAGGGUCCAGAUGAAUAAAUUGUAGCAUCAAGAACAUAUUAAAGUUAGAACGACUAUUAAAUGACUUUCUUAAUUUAUGUGCAUAAAACUAAAACGACUAUUAUUAUGGAAUGGAGGUAGUAAUAUAAAGUGAAAGAAUUAGACUUAAGAUAAUAGAACUUACCUUGGAGUUCCCCUGUUGCAAGCUCGUGCUUGGCUUAUGCUAUCAUAAGAUUCAAAACUAUACAAAUCGAUUGCGAAUGAGGAGGUGGAUUGAGAGAUUGACAUCGUUAAUGAGGAGGUGGGUUUGUUGUCGUUGAUGCGGAAAUUCAAAUUCACCAUUGGAUAGAUAGUUACCAUUUACCAAGUGAGGAAGUAAAAAAGAGGAACUGAGGGAGAUGAAGAGGUAAUUGAACCAUUUUGCGAGAGGUGGAAACUAAAGCAUCAAUCCGUUAGUUCAUCCAAACUCAACUGAGUGGAAUUGGACAAUAUUUGAUUAUCCAACUUGGGGAAAGCAACAAAUAACUUAGUUGGGCAGAAGAAAACUCUUUAGGUAAAUAUACACCAAAACACUUGUAGGCAUUUCUAUGCUCAAUGAGAACAUCAUAUUCAUCCUAAUGCUUGUUCUCAGAUUCUCUGGGACAUAUAAGCCAUCAACAUAGGAUCACUUUCAAAAAAAUUGUCAAUUAAUUAUUAAAUUAUAGUACACAACAAUUAGCCAGCAAAUUGUCAUAAUUUCAAGCUAAAAUAACAAUUACUUUCACAAAAUUCUUAUGGAGGUUACAAAUAAAAUUGAGGACAACAAUGGCACCGCAUUGUCUCAGAAAAUGAUUUCAAGUAGUUAACUAUUUAGGUGUACUUCCUUCUUCUUACCGGCAUUUCACCAAAUACUUGGCAUGCAAUAUUGUGAGUUGCAUAAGGUAAAAAAAAUCAAAAAUGUACCUGUUAAUCUCUAGAUUGGACUAUAGUGAAGAAUUUAAGAUUUUGCCCAAAUUCAAACUUGUCGGUGGCUACCCAAUCUAGAUUUGAUUUCUUACACAUGAAAAUAUUUAUUUACUAAAAUAAACAACAUCUGCCCAACAUUGAAACAAAAAUGAAAACCAAAUCUUUGAAUGUAUAAUAACAGCCAAAUCUUUGAAUGUAUAAUAAGAGUGUUACCUUGAGAAAAACUUUGGUUGGAAAACUCGAGUGGUAUGCUCGAUGAAACUAUCAAUAUUGGUUGAUUUGUUUAUACUUCGCGAACGGGAAAGACGUUCUAUUCAUCAUUGUGGUCGAUAUUGUUGAAUUCGAUUAUUUGAUUUACACCUAUAGAUUUUCUCGUUCUAUUCAUCAUUGUGGCUGAUAUUGUCAAAUCCGAUUAUUUGAU